UACGUAGGGUGCAAGCGUUGUCCGGAAUUAUUGGGCGUAAAGAGCUCGUAGGCGGUCUGUCGCGUCGGCUGUGAAAUCCCGAGGCUCAACCUCGGGUCUGCAGUCGAUACGGGCAAACUGGAGUGUUGCAGGGGAGACUGGAAUUCCUGGUGUAGCGGUGAAAUGCGCAGAUAUCAGGAGGAACACCGGUGGCGAAGGCGGGUCUCUGGGCAACAACUGACGCUGAAUAGCGAAAGCCAGGGGAGCAAACGGG
rnacentral:rRNA from 1 species